rnacentral:rRNA from 1 species
CCUACGGGUGACAGCAGUAGGGAAUAUUGCUCAAUGGGGGACACCCUGAAGCAGCAACGCCGCGUGGAGGAUGAAGGUUUUCUGAUUGUAAACUCCUUUUGUUAGAGAAGAUAAUGACGGUAUCUACCGAAUACGCCCCGGCUAACUCCGUGCCAGCAGCCGCGGUACUCCGGGGGGUGCAAGCGUUACUCGGAAUCACUGGGCGUAAAGAGCGCGUAGGCGGGAUAGCAAGUCAGAUGUGAAAUCCUAUGGCUUAACCAUAGAACUGCAUUUGAAACUGUUAUUCUAGAGUAUGGUAGAGGUAGGUGGAAUUCUUGGUGUAGGGGUAAAAUCCGUAGAGAUCAAGAGGAAUACUCAUUGCGAAGGCGACCUGCUAGAACAUAACUGACGCUGAUGCGCGAAAGCGUGGGGAGCAAACAGGAUUAGAUACCCGGGUAGUC